rnacentral:misc_RNA from 1 species
GUGAAGUUAUCAGGGUGCUUUCAUUAGGCCCGACUACACUUAUUACACACUGUGCACUUGUUUAUAAAUUGAUGGCUUGACUCACAUCGAGCUGUCUCUUUAUUUCAUACACUUGUUAAUGGAAAGAAGUUGAUAGGAUGUAAUCAAAUUGAUUAAACGAAAGUA